GGAAGUAAAAAGUCGUAACAAGGUUUCCGUAGGUGAACCUGCGGAAGGAUCAUUAAAGUUAUAGUCCCCCGGCCCUCUGGGCUGGGGUCUUCUAUACCACCCUUUGUUUAUUACACCUUUGUUGCUUUGGCAGGCCUGCCCUCGGGCUGCUGGCUCCGGCUGGCUCGCGUCUGCCAGAGGACCUAAACUCUGUUUGUAUAUGAAGUCUGAGUACUAUAUAAUAGUUAAAACUUUCAACAACGGAUCUCUUGGUUCUG
rnacentral:misc_RNA from 1 species